UACGUAGGGGGCUAGCGUUGUCCGGAUUUAUUGGGCGUAAAGAGCUCGUAGGCGGUUCGGUAAGUCAGGUGUGAAAUCUCCACGCUCAACGUGGAGGCGCCACCUGAAACUGCCGUGACUCGAGUCCGGUAGGGGAGUGUGGAAUUCCUGGUGUAGCGGUGAAAUGCGUAGAUAUCAGGAGGAACACCGGUGGUGUAGACGGCUUUCUGGACCGUAACUGACGCUGAGACACGAAAGCGUGGGUAGCAAACAGG
rnacentral:rRNA from 1 species